rnacentral:rRNA from 13 species
AGAAGAAGCACCGGCUAACUCCGUGCCAGCAGCCGCGGUAAUACGGAGGGUGCAAGCGUUAAUCGGAAUUACUGGGCGUAAAGCGCGCGUAGGUGGUUUGAUAAGCGAGAUGUGAAAGCCCCGGGCUCAACCUGGGAACGGCAUUUCGAACUGUCAGGCUAGAGUAUGGUAGAGGAGUGUGGAAUUUCCUGUGUAGCGGUGAAAUGCGUAGAUAUAGGAAGGAACACCAGUGGCGAAGGCGGCUCACUGGCUCGAUACUGACGCUGAGGUGCGAAAGUGUGGGGAGCAAACAGGAUUAGAUACCCUGGUAGUCCACGCCGUAAACGAUGGUCACUAGCUGUUCGGA